UUUUGAUCAACUAAAUUUUUGUUUGUUAAUGCUUUAUAGACAAGUUUAAAGGCACUGUCUGUUACAGUUUCACAUAUCGAUAAUGUUCUUCAUCACUCUCUUCUUGCUUCUAUAUUCUCAAUGAACACGUGGUCCUGCAGGACUGAUGUGAUGGAUGCUCUAAUUAAUUAAACUAAUCAUUUCAUUGGCUGCUUGAAGUGGCAAAUAUGUUAAUUCGUGUUUAGAGAUGGUUGUUGGAAAUUUCACACCCCUUUCUUCAAUGAUAGAGUUUUUGAAAGAACCACGAGGUAUUUCAAGAAAGAGCCAUGUUCUAUCUCGGGUGCAUUCAUCUUUGGAAGUCAUAGCUGAUUUGGUGCUGAUUUCUCCCAUGAGAUUGCAGCCAAUUGUAAUACAGAGGAAGCCACACUAUACUUCUAAGGAAGUUGUGAGUUGCCUUGGUACUUUGCGUUUUCUAUUAAUCUUUUUGUACUAUAUAUAUACA